CACCAGGUUGAUUCUGCCUGACGUGGACGCUAGCUUCAAGGAUUAAGCCAUGCAAGCUAGCGAAGGUAACGGAGCGGCGAACGGCUCAGUAAGACAGGCGGAUCUGACCACUAAGAAGGAUAACCACGGGAAACUGUGGCUAAUACUAUUGAGGGUGAAAGCCUGGCCUAUCAGCUUGUCGGUACGGUAAGUGCGUACCGAGGCGACGACGGGUAACGGGGAAUCGGGGUUUGAUUCCGGAGAGGGAGCCUGAGAGAUGGCUGCCACGUCCAAGGACGGCAGCAGGCGCGAAACUUACCCAUUUGGAGGACCAGAGGUAGUGACGAGGCGUGUAUAUGAGAACACGGUAAAGAAGUGAUCGAAAGCAACUGGAGGGCAAGUCUGGUGCCAACAGCCGCGGUAAUUCCAGCUCCAGGAGCGUCUGUGUGUAUUGCUGCGGUUAAAACGUGCGUAGUCUGGCUAACAACUAGCAAAAAAAGUGGGGUCUUGAGCCACACAAAAGCAAGUACGGAAGCCUAGAGACUGGGGAGGGAUAAUGUUAUUUGAUAGCGAGGGGUGAAAACCGAUGACCUAUUGAGGAGCGACAGAGGCGUAAGCAGUUAUCCGGAACGGGUCUGACGAUCAAGCGCGUGAGCAGGAGGAUCGAAGGCGAUUAGAGACCGUCGUAGUUCCUGCAGUAAACUAUGCCGACAAGGUUGCAGAGACUGUAGCCUAAGGGAAACUGAGUGUAUGGGCUCCGGGGAUAGUAUUGGCGCA
rnacentral:rRNA from 1 species